rnacentral:rRNA from 1 species
UACGGAGGGUGCGAGCGUUGUUCGGAAUCACUGGGCGUAAAGCGCGUGUAGGCGGCCCACUAAGUCUGAUGUGAAAGCCCGGGGCUCACCCCCGGAAGUGCAUUGGAAACUGGUGGACUCGAGUCCCGGAGAGGAGAGUGGAAUUCCUGGUGUAGCGGUGAAAUGCGUAGAUAUCAGGAGGAACACCGAUGGCGAAGGCAAUCCCCUGGGCCUGCACUGACGCUCAUGCACGAAAGCGUGGGGAGCAAACAGG